GUCCGUAUGGUCUAGUGGUUAUGACGCAUGCCUGUCACGCAUGAGACCGGAGUUCAAUUCUCCGUAUGGGCG
rnacentral:tRNA from 1 species